rnacentral:rRNA from 1 species
GAGUUUGAUCGUGGCUCAGAGUGAACGCUGGCGGUAGGCCUAACACAUGCAAGUCGAACGGCAGCACAGAGGAGCUUGCUCCUUGGGUGGCGAGUGGCGGACGGGUGAGGAAUACGUCGGAAUCUACUCUGUCGUGGGGGGAUAACGUAGGGAAACUUACGCUAAUACCGCAUACGACCUACGGGUGAAAGCAGGGGAUCUUCGGACCUUGCGCGAUUGAAUGAGCCGAUGUCGGAUUAGCUAGUUGGCGGGUAAAGGCCCACCAAGGCGACGAUCCGUAGCUGGUCUGAGAGGAUGAUCAGCCACGACUGGAACUGAGACACGGUCCAGACUCCUACGGGAGGCAGCAGUGGGGAAUAUUGGACAAUGGGCGCAAGCCUGAUCCAGCCAUACCGCGUGGGUGAAGAAGGCCU